CCAAUAGCGUAUAUUAAAGUUGUUGCAGUUAAAAAGCUCGUAGUUGAACUUCGGGGUCUACCCAUUGGUCAGGCUUAAUUGUCUGCACUGGUGAGAUGGAUCUCUACCUUCUGAGGAACUUUCAUGCCAUUUAUUUGGUGUGGUUGGAAAUCAGGACUGUUACUUUGAAAAAAUUAGAGUGUUUAAAGCAGACUAUCGUCUGAAUACAUUAGCAUGGAAUAAUGAAAUAGGACGGACUGAUUCUAUUUCGUUGGUUUCUAGGAUCACCGUAAUGAUUAAUAGGGAUAGUUGGGGGCAUUAGUAUUCAAUUGUCAGAGGUGAAAUUCUUGGAUUUAUUGAAGACUAACUACUGCGAAAGCAUUUGCCAAGGAUGUUUUCAUUAAUCAAGAACGAAAGUUAGGGGAUCGAAGACGAUCAGAUACCGUCGUAGUCUUAACCAUAAACUAUGCCGACUAGGGAUCGGAUGAUGUUAAUUUUUUAAUGACUCAUUCGGCGCCUUACG
rnacentral:misc_RNA from 1 species